CCCUUAGAUGUUCUGGGCCGCACGCGUGCUACACUGAGUGGAUCAGCGGGUCAGGUUGCGCGAAAGCGUUUCCUAAUCUUUAAAUCCGCUCGUGAUGGGGAUUGACGGUUGCAAUUUUCUGUCAUGAACGAGGAAUACCUUGUAAGCGCGGGUCAUCAUCCCGCGCUGAAUACGUCCCUGCCCUUUAUACACACCGCCCGUCGCUCCUACCGAUUGAGUGGUCCGGUGAGGCUUUGGGAUCUGAGCGGAAAGAGCGUUUCGCUGUUUCUGCUCGGAAAACUCAGUCGAACCUUAUCAUUUAGAGGAAGGAGAAGUCGUAACA
rnacentral:rRNA from 1 species